ACGCCCGGUUCCAUUCCGAACCCGGAAGCUAAGCCUCUCAGCGCCGAUGGUACUGCGCGGGUGACUGCGUGGGAGAGUAGGACGCCGCCGGAC
rnacentral:rRNA from 1 species